rnacentral:rRNA from 1 species
CGGGGUGCAGCAGGCGCGAAAACUUUACAAUGUGGGAAACCGUGAUAAGGGGACACCGAGUGCCAGCAUCAUAUGCUGGCUGUCCGGGUGUGUAAAAUACACCCGUUAGCAAGGGCCGGGCAAGACCGGUGCCAGCCGCCGCGGUAACACCGGCGGCCCGAGUGGUGAUCGUGAUUAUUGGGUCUAAAGGGUCCGUAGCCGGUUUGGUCAGUCCUCCGGGAAAUCUGACGGCUCAACCGUUAGGCUUUCGGGGGAUACUGCCAGGCUUGGAACCGGGAGAGGUAAGAGGUACUACAGGGGUAGGAGUGAAAUCUUGUAAUCCCUGUGAGACCACCUGUGGCGAAGGCGUCUUACCAGAACGGGUUCGACGGUGAGGGACGAAAGCUGGGGGCACGAACCGGAUUAGAUACCCGGGUAGUCCCAGCCGUAAACGAUGCUCGCUAGGUGUCAGGCAUGGCGCGACCGUGUCUGGUGCCGCAGGGAAGCCGUGAAGCGAGCCACCUGGGAAGUACGGCCGCAAGGCUGAAACUUAAAGGAAUUGGCGGGGGAGCAC